rnacentral:rRNA from 1 species
UUCCUACGGGGGGCAGCAGUGAGGAAUAUUGGUCAAUGGGCGCAAGCCUGAACCAGCCAAGUCGCGUGAGGGAAGACGGCCCUACGGGUUGUAAACCUCUUUUGCCGGGGAGCAAGCCUGAGCACGUGUGCCCAGGCGGAGAGUACCCGGAGAAAAAGCAUCGGCUAACUCCGUGCCAGCAGCCGCGGUAAUACGUAGGUGGCAAGCGUUGUCCGGAUUUAUUGGGCGUAAAGCGAGUGCAGGCGGUUCAA